rnacentral:rRNA from 1 species
UGGCUCAGGACGAACGCUGGCGGCGUGCCUAAUACAUGCAAGUCGAACGCGUCUCCGUUAAUGAUUUUAGGUGCUUGCACUUGAAAGAUUUAACAUUGAGACGAGUGGCGAACUGGUGAGUAACACGUGGGUAACCUGCCCUUGAAGUAGGGGAUAACACUUGGAAACAGGUGCUAAUACCGUAUAACAACCAAAACCACCUGGUUUUGGUUUAAAAGACGGCUUCGGCUGUCACUUUAGGAUGGACCCGCGGCGUAUUAGCUUGUUGGUAAGGUAACGGCCUACCAAGGCGAUGAUACGUAGCCGACCUGAGAGGGUAAUCGGCCACAUUGGGACUGAGACACGGCCCAAACUCCUACGGGAGGCAGCAGUAGGGAAUCUUCCACAAUGGACGAAAGUCUGAUGGAGCAACGCCGCGUGAGUGAUGAAGGGUUUCGGCUCGUAAAACUCUGUUGUUGGAGAAGAACAGGUGUCAGAGUAACUGUUGACAUCUUGACGGUAUCCAACCAGAAAGCCACGGCUAACUACGUGCCAGCAGCCGCGGUAAUACGUAGGUGGCAAGCGUUGUCCGGAUUUAUUGGGCGUAAAGCGAGCGCAGGCGGUUUUUUAGGUCUGAUGUGAAAGCCUUCGGCUUAACCGGAGAAGUGCAUCGGAAACCGGGAGACUUGAGUGCAGAAGAGGACAGUGGAACUCCAUGUGUAGCGGUGAAAUGCGUAGAUAUAUGGAAGAACACCAGUGGCGAAGGCGGCUGUCUGGUCUGUAACUGACGCUGAG